ACGAACGCUGGCGGCGUGCUUAACACAUGCAAGUCGAGCGAUGAAGCUCCUUCGGGAGUGGAUUAGCGGCGGACGGGUGAGUAACACGUGGGUAACCUGCCUCAUAGAGGGGAAUAGCCUUUCGAAAGGAAGAUUAAUACCGCAUAAGAUUGUAGUGCCGCAUGGUACAGCAAUUAAAGGAGUAAUCCGCUAUGAGAUGGACCCGCGUCGCAUUAGCUAGUUGGUGAGGUAACUGCUCACCAAGGCGACGAUGCGUAGCCGACCUGAGAGGGUGAUCGGCCACAUUGGGACUGAGACACGGCCCAGACUCCUACGGGAGGCAGCAGUGGGGAAUAUUGCACAAUGGGGGAAACCCUGAUGCAGCAACGCCGCGUGAGUGAUGACGGUCUUCGGAUUGUAAAGCUCUGUCUUUAGGGACGAUAAUGACGGUACCUAAGGAGGAAGCCACGGCUUACUACGUGCCAGCAGCCGCGGUAAUACGUAGGUGGCAAGCGUUGUCC
rnacentral:rRNA from 1 species